GAGGUCUGUUCUAUCUCUGAGACACCCAUCGCCUUUUAUUUAUUUUCAGGUGCACAUCCUGGAAAGAGGAAAGAUUUGAGGAAAAUAUAAAACUUCCUCCUUUCUCCCGGAUCGAACCCGGGUCUCUGGCACUGUGAGGCAGCAGCUCUACCAGUUGUGCCACUGUGCUGCCCUUAGGACAAGCCAUCAAAGGAAAAAGAGAAUGAUUAAAAUGGAAAGCUGGACUCAGUCUUCAAAACUGUUCAUAUUCACAAUUUUGCUAAGUUAUGUCAUGAGUCCAGCUUUAAAAUGUUGCACCCUUGUGUCUACCUGCAGUGCUGCAAUCUAGACCACAAGGUGAUGCUUUAAGCAAACAUUUUACUGUAACAUCAUUAACUUGAAAUUCAAUUAAGCAUUAUGAACAAGAA